GAACACACUAAGAAUAAGAAAAUGGCAAAACAUGGCUGCUGAGAAACAUAACAAAAGCAAAAACAUCAGAAAAAAAUGAAGUUCAUACUUCAUUGACCAAUGACAGUGUCAAGACCUAAAUUCAAGUAGACUUCUAUUGAUCUUGUUUUAUAUUACGACCCAAGUUGCUAUGUAAAUUACCACCAACAACUAAGGACUUUUGAGCCACAAAGUCUUUGGUGCCUAGGAUAACACUUUAGGAUCAUGGACCUACCCUAGAACAACCCAAGACACAUAGCCUAGGGCAUGACAUUUAUAAGUAUGGAAAAAUGUAUAGGUCUCUAGAAUUCGUAUUGAUGUAAUGCCAUAGAUGGGGUUAAGAUUGAGAUAUAUUUGGAAAAUGUGCUUUCUACAGUUACUUUGUUUUUAUUGGACUUUGUUUUUACUUUGUGCUCUUAGACAUAAAAUUUGGUUUUAUUCCACUCAUAU
rnacentral:misc_RNA from 1 species